rnacentral:rRNA from 1 species
UAAAGCAAGAAAGGGCGUAUGGGGAAUGCCUAGGCACACUCCGGCGAAGAAGGACGCAGCAAACAGCGAAAUGCGACGGUGAGCGGUAAGCACGUGAAGAGCCGUCGAUAUCCGAAUGGGGGAACCCACACGGAGUCAUAUCCGUGUAUCACAUGUCGAAUACAUAGACAUGAUGAGGCGAGACGCAGGGAACUGAAACAUCUAAGUACCUGCAGGAAGAGAAAAUAAGAAUGAUUUUCUGAGUAGCGGCGAGCGAAAGGGAAAGAGCCCAAACCGAUUUUAGGAUCGGGGUAGUAGGAUCAUCGAGGAAUCUGACAGAGGAUCAUAGAGGAAUCACAUGGGAAGGUGAGCGAGAGAGGGUGAGAGCCCCGUACUCGAAAUGAGAGACUGGAGAGAGAUGACACCUGAGUAGGGCGGGACACGAGAAAUCCUGUCUGAAUCAGCCGGGACCAUCCGGCAAGGCUAAAUACGAGAGAGUGACCGAUAGUGAACCAGUACCGUGAGGGAAAGGUGAAAAGAACCCCGGGAGGGGAGUGAAAGAGAACCUGAAACCAUAUGCCUACAAGAAGUCAGAGCCCGUUAAAGGGUGAUGGCGUGCCUUUUGUAGAAUGAACCGGCGAGUUACUGUAUGGAGCGAGGUUAAGCAGGAUAUGCGGAGCCGAAGCGAAAGCGAGUCUUAAGAGGGCGCGAGUUGCAUGCAGUAGACCCGAAACCGGGUGAUCUAGCCAUGACCAGGUUGAAGUUGGGGUAAAACCCGAUGGAGGACCGAACCGACCCCCGUUGAAACGUUGGCGGAUGAGUUGUGGCUAGGGGUGAAAUUCCAAUCGAACCCGGAGAUAGCUGGUUCUCCCCGAAAUAGCUUUAGGGCUAGCGUCGAGAGAAGAGUUGCGUGAAGGUAGAGCACUGAAUAUGUGAUGGCCCCAUCUCGGGGUACUGAGCAUAAUCAAACUGCGAAUGUCACGCCAACAUGCUCGGCAGUCAGACAGCGGGUGAUAAGGUCCGUUGUCAAGAGGGAAACAGCCCAGACCAUCAGCUAAGGUCCCAAAAUGUAUGCUAAGUGGAAAAGGAUGUGGAGAUGUACAGACAACUAGGAGGUUGGCUCAGAAGCAGCCAUCCUUUAAAGAGUGCGUAACAGCUCACUAGUCGAAUGACUCUGCGCCGAUAAUUUACCGGGGCUAAGCAUACUACCGAAGCUAUGGAUCCCAAGGGAUGGUAGGGGAGCGUUCCAUGAACGGAGAAGUACGACCGAAAGGACGUGUGGAGAUCAUGGAAGAGAGAAUGCCGGUGUGAGUAGCGGAACGUGGGUGAGAAUCCCACGCACCGAAAACCCAAGGUUUCCAGAGGAAGGUUCGUCCGCUCUGGGUAAGUCGGGACCUAAGGCGAGGCCGAAAGGCGUAGUCGAUGGACAACAGGUAGAGAUUCCUGUACCCGUAUAUAUGUGAAGGAAUGACGGAGAGAGGAAGCUGCAGCCAGCGGCUGGAAGAGCUGGUGCAAGCGAGAUAUCGGGAUGGCAGGCAAAUCCACCAUCCGAAACGAGAAGGCGUGAAGCGUACGGAAAGCUACGGCGAGUACGGAAGGCAGUGGAGGAACUUCCAAGAAAAGUUUCUAACGUUAAGUAUAUAUGGCCCGUACCGAAAAUGGACACACAUGGGUGAGGAGAGAAUCCUAAGGUGAGCGAGAGAACUAUAGCUAAGGAACUCUGCAAAAUGACUCCGUAACUUAGGGAGAAGGAGUGCUCAUAGAGAUAUGAGCCGCAGUGAAACGGCCCAAGCGACUGUUUACCAAAAACACAGCUCUCUGCUAAGCCGCAAGGCGAAGUAUAGGGGGUGACGCCUGCCCGGUGCUGGAAGGUUAAGGGGAGGGGUUAACGCAAGUGAAGCCCUGAACUGAAGCCCCAGUAAACGGCGGCCGUAACUAUAACGGUCCUAAGGUAGCGAAAUUCCUUGUCAGGUAAGUUCUGACCCGCACGAAAGG